rnacentral:rRNA from 1 species
UACGAAGGGGGCUAGCGUUGCUCGGAAUCACUGGGCGUAAAGGGUGCGUAGGCGGGUCUUAAGUCGGUGGUGAAAUCCUGGAGCUCAACUCCAGAACUGCCUUCGAUACUGAGAGUCUCGAGUCCGGGAGAGGUGAGUGGAACUGCGAGUGUAGAGGUGAAAUUCGUAGAUAUUCGCAAGAACACCAGUGGCGAAGGCGGCUCACUGGCCCGGUACUGACGCUGAGGUGCGAGAGCGUGGGGAGCGAACCGGAU